rnacentral:rRNA from 1 species
AGAGUUUGAUUCUGGCUCAGGAUGAACGCUAGCUACAGGCUUAACACAUGCAAGUCGAGGGGCAGCAUUGGAGUAGCAAUACUCAGAUGGCGACCGGCGCACGGGUGAGUAACACGUAUCCAACCUGCCGCUUACUCGGGGAUAGCCUUUCGAAAGAAAGAUUAAUACCCGAUGGUAUAAAGAGUUCGCAUGUUCUCUUUAUUAAAGAAUUUCGGUAAGCGAUGGGGAUGCGUUCCAUUAGAUAGUUGGCGGGGUAACGGCCCACCAAGUCUACGAUGGAUAGGGGUUCUGAGAGGAAGGUCCCCCACAUUGGAACUGAGACACGGUCCAAACUCCUACGGGAGGCAGCAGUGAGGAAUAUUGGUCAAUGGAACGAGAGUCUGAACCAGCCAAAAGUAGCGUGAAGGAUGACUGCCCUAUGGGUUGUAAACUUCUUUUAUAAGGGAAUAAAGUGAGGGGCGUGUCCCUUUUUGUAUGUACCUUAUGAAUAAGGAUCGGCUAACUCCGUGCCAGCCGCCGC